GAUCACACGGCCCAUGCCACGCCGGCACCCUCAGCCCCGUCUGAGCCGGGACAGCAGGCAUCCACCCGUGGGGGUCAAAGGCACACCCCGUCCAGCUGGCAGUGCAGCUUUUAGACAGGGGAUGUGCCGGAUUCAACCUACAGACACAACUCUGGUGGGCAGUGUGGUGGGUGGUAGAUGGAGAGAUGGAGCUGGAGAAGCCCUGGAAGAAAUACUGGGUCCCUGAGCUUGGCUGCAGUUUUUGUGCAGAAGCAAGGAGACGCCUGUGGGCUGCUAACAGGUGCAACAGGGACCGGGAAGACUAGGAUGGGAAGCUGCCUCCCUGCUGGUGCCCCUGCCAGUCACAUCCCCCUCGAAGGAACUCUGCCGACCAGGCCCCCAGAGGUGCAGCCGCUCAAGCUGGGUGGGGAGGCGCCCCUUUGUCCACAUCUGCUGGGGUGUAGCCUGGCCCUGGUGCCUGGAGGCCUGGGCACUUGGAGCCCCCGGGACCCAGGGGUUGAGGCUGAAGGGGAGACCUCUCCUGGUCCUAGGGAAGGAGCAGUUACCCUCACAUAGCCCUUACGAGUGGAGAAGACAAUGGCAUCGCACUCCAGUACUCUUGCCUGGCAAAUCCCACGGACAGAGGAGCCUGGUAGGCUGCAGUCCAUGGGGUCGCUAGCAGUCGGACACG
ensembl:lncRNA